rnacentral:rRNA from 1 species
GAUGAACGCUGGCGGCGUGCCUAAUACAUGCAAGUCGAGCGAACGGACGAGAAGCUUGCUUCUCUGAUGUUAGCGGCGGACGGGUGAGUAACACGUGGAUAACCUACCUAUAAGACUGGGAUAACUUCGGGAAACCGGAGCUAAUACCGGAUAAUAUUUUGAACCGCAUGGUUCAAAAGUGAAAGACGGUCUUGCUGUCACUUAUAGAUGGAUCCGCGCUGCAUUAGCUAGUUGGUAAGGUAACGGCUUACCAAGGCAACGAUGCAUAGCCGACCUGAGAGGGUGAUCGGCCACACUGGAACUGAGACACGGUCCAGACUCCUACGGGAGGCAGCAGUAGGGAAUCUUCCGCAAUGGGCGAAAGCCUGACGGAGCAACGCCGCGUGAGUGAUGAAGGUCCUCGGAUCGUAAAACUCUGUUAUUAGUGAAGAACAUAUGUGUAAGUAACUGUGCACAUCUUGACGGUACCUAAUCAGAAAGCCACGGCUAACUACGUG